rnacentral:rRNA from 1 species
CGGAAUCUGCCUAUUUGUGGGGGAUAACGUAGGGAAACUUACGCUAAUACCACAUACGACCUACGGGUGAAAGCGGAGGACCUUCGGGCUUCGCGCAGAUAGAUGAGCCGAUGUCGGAUUAGCUAGUUGGCGGGGUAAAGGCCCACCAAGGCGACGAUCCGUAGCUGGUCUGAGAGGAUGAUCAGCCACACUGGAACUGAGACACGGUCCAGACUCCUACGGGAGGCAGCAGUGGGGAAUAUUGGACAAUGGGCGCAAGCCUGAUCCAGCCAUGCCGCGUGGGUGAAGAAGGCCUUCGGGUUGUAAAGCCCUUUUGUUGGGAAAGAAAAGCAGUCGGUUAAUACCCGAUUGUUCUGACGGUACCCAAAGAAUAAGCACCGGCUAACUUCGUGCCAGCAGCCGCGGUAAUACGAAGGGUGCAAGCGUUACUCGGAAUUACUGGGCGUAAAGCGUGCGUAGGUGGUUUGUUAAGUCUGAUGUGAAAGCCCUGGGCUCAACCUGGGAAUUGCAUUGGAUACUGGCAGGCUAGAGUGCGGUAGAGGGUAGUGGAAUUCCCGGU